rnacentral:rRNA from 1 species
GCAUAUCAAUAAGCGGAGGAAAAGAAACCAACCGGGAUUGCCUCAGUAACGGCGAGUGAAGCGGCAAGAGCUCAAAUUUGAAAGCUGGCUCCCUUCGGGGUCCGCAUUGUAAUUUGCAGAGGAUGCUUCGGGUGCGGCCCCUGUCUAAGUGCCCUGGAACGGGCCGUCAGAGAGGGUGAGAAUCCCGUCUGGGAUGGGGUGUCCGCGCCCGUGUGAAGCUCCUUCGACGAGUCGAGUUGUUUGGGAAUGCAGCUCUAAAUGGGUGGUAAAUUUCAUCUAAAGCUAAAUACUGGCCGGAGACCGAUAGCGCACAAGUAGAGUGAUCGAAAGAUGAAAAGCACUUUGAAAAGAGAGUUAAAAAGCACGUGAAAUUGUUGAAAGGGAAGCGCUUGCGACCAGACUCGCCUCCAGGGUUCAGCCGGCAUUCGUGCCGGUGUACUUCCCUGGGGGCGGGCCAGCGUCGGUUUGGGCGGCCGGUCAAAGGCUCCCGGAAUGUAGUGCCCUCCGGGGCACCUUAUAGCCGGGAGUGCAAUGCGGCCAGCCUGGACCGAGGAACGCGCUUCGGCACGGACGCUGGCAUAAUGGUCGUAAACGACCCGUCUUGAAACACGGACCAAGGAGUCUAACAUCUACGCGAGUGUUCGGGUGUCAAACCCGUACGCGCAGUGAAAGCGAACGGAGGUGGGAGCCCCCUCGUGGGGCGCACCAUCGACCGAUCCUGAAGUCUUCGGAUGGAUUUGAGUAAGAGCGUAAAUGUGGGGACCCGAAAGAUGGUGAACUAUGCCUGAAUAGGGCGAAGCCAGAGGAAACUCUGGUGGAGGCUCGCAGCGGUUCUGACGUGCAAAUCGAUCGUCAAAUUUGGGUAUAGGGGCGAAAGACUAAUCGAACCAUCUAGUAGCUGGUUCCUGCCGA